rnacentral:lncRNA from 1 species
AUGAAGGCACUGGGGUGCAGUGUUUUCCCCUCCUACAAACGGCCUCAUUUCUCUGCCAUUCAAAGGGAAGUAAGUGCUGACGUUCCGAGGACAAAGACAACUUCUGCAGUCUACCUGAUGGAGUCCAACAGCUGCAUCAAUGUUGAAUUUUUGGAUACAGCUGAGGAUUCCUUCUACUUUGGAGUGGUUCAACAAGAUUUGAAGGAGGAUGAUUUCACACAGCCAAAAGACCAUCAUUGGUCCAUUGAGAGCACGAAUGGUUUUGGAUACCUCAUUUUAAACCAAGAAGACACAUUCGUGCUCCAGACCUGCUGUGAGAAGAAACUCUGCAUCAGGACCUAUCGGAGCUCUUUUGUAAACGAAAAGUUGCCAGUCAUGAUAUAUACCCAAAAGAAUGACCAGACAAUGGUGGCAUGUUGUAAGGAGCACAAAAUUCAAGCUGUACCAAUGGUAAGUACAAAAAGUCAUUCAGAGUUGGUUUUAGUGCACUCACAGUUAUUCUGA